AGUGAACGCUGGCGGCAUGCCUAAUACAUGCAAGUCGAACGAGUGGCGCAGGGGUGAGUAAUGUAUAGCUAAUCCACCCUACACUAGAGGACAACCGUUGGAAACGGCUGCUAAUACUCUAUAGUGUAGGAUGAGGCUAUAUUGUAUCAGCUAGUUGGUGAGGUAAUGGCGCACCAAGGCUCUGACGCAUAACUGGUCUGAGAGGAUGAUCAGUCAAACUGGAGCGGAGACACGGGCGGGGCUCCUACGGGAGGGAGCAGUAGGGAAUAUUGCACAAUGGGGGAAACCCAGAAGGAGCAGCGCCGCGUGGAGGAUGACACGUUGCGAAGCGGAAACUCCUGUUGUUAGGGAAACGGUACCUAACGAAUAAGCACCGGCUAACUCCGUGCCAGCAGCCGCGGUAAUAC
rnacentral:rRNA from 1 species